GCCAGCGCCCUUCCUAUUGGGUAUGGUGAAAGGCCUCUGUAGAGAAUGUGGCCAAAGAGACCUCUAAGGUCAUAAAGGCCAUAAUUCUGACUCCAUGUUCUCUGAGGUCAUGUGAGCUAAUACUCCAGCAUCCAAAGUUCCAAUCUCAAGUUCUCUGGGGACACAGAAUACUAUAGGAGUGCUGCAGACAGAGGCUCUACCCUUCCUCCAGCUCCAGCCCUCCACACCUUAGCUCUGGCUGCCCCUUCUGUGCAUCAGCUGAAAUCUCCUCCAGGAGAUGAGCAUGUGAUGAGCAACUACUUGGAGCCAAACAUUUUAUGUCUUCCUGAGUCAGCUUGUGAAGCCAGGACAUGACAUGAGACAGAUUCUCAGAUACUGAUCUAUAAGCACCAACGUUCCUGUCAACUGCCAUUGAUUUCCAAGGUACAGCACUGGCCACAGGCCCCUCCACCCACUAUGAAUAUCCUUUUGCAAUGUGACACUGGCACUGGCCAACUCAAAGGAGCAGCUGCAAUCUCUACACUUCUAAAACUAGACUGGCUGCCUUACAGUGAAGGCAUAUGGUACCUUAUCUGCCCCAGAUCUUCAUGUUGAGCUUCUAAAGCCCUGGGAUUAAGUGAUGAGCUGUCUGUUAGCCAGGAUUCCUUGGGCUGCCUGUUAGCCAGGGUUACUUAAACCACAUUUCCAUUCUGCUAACAGAAUCGGGAUGGGAGCUGUCAGACACAGUUUGAGGGUGGGGGCUCUGAGCUCAAACAUGCAUCUAAGAAGACUAACAAAAGUUGCUUUGAGGAUCAGGCAAACUCCCUGGUUGGCUAUCUUCAUGACAAGGAUUGUUCUGAGGCAUCAUCAUCAGGUCUUCUCAGAUCAUUUUGGACCAUGUGCCUUUCUCUGGACAUUCAUGACUGGCUCAAAACUUCCAUCGUUGUAAACAAGGUGCUACACACCUUCGGGCACAUCCUUCCUCCGCGUAAGAGUUUCUGUAUCCCUACCGUACGGUGAGCUCAUGUGAUGGGAACUCCACACAAGGAGUUAGUCUCAACCCGUGCCCUCGUCUCAAGAACAGAUUCUUCAGGUGAAUUUUUCUCAUUCACAGAAUACCAAAUUCAUAGCAAGGUUUGUGUAUGAAUAGUUUCCGCCUGUGUCUGCCCAUCUCUUCUCCCUCUUUCUAUAAGACUAACUUCUAGUUCCCAGGAACUGUGGAGGUGCCAUACACAAAGCAAAUCGUCCAGGUCCCCUGACAUCUGGCUCAGUCACGUCUUUGAUGCUGGCCUCACCUUGGAGAACUUCAUGCCGCUCACGUUGAUAGUGCAAAGAUCUGAUGGCUUCCUGGCAGAGUGGUGCUUCAGCUGGAACACAGGACACAAGAGUUGGUCCCCGCGGUCCCAACAGAAUGGAAAAAGACCGGUCCAAAAUGUGUCCAAGAACGUCUGCCUGGCUAUCCCUCCGAGAUAUUUUCUUCAACCCAGUAUCGAAAGAAACCUUCUUCUGGCUUUCCUGACCUUCGGUGGAUGCCUUAGCUGCACCUUUCUUCAUGCUGCCUUUCCGGACCACUAUCCAGUGUCCCCGGCCUGUGGGGAAGAUUGGAACACCUGCACAGAGCUCACCACUGUGACCGCUGCUAAACGAAUGAUGUAGUGAAGCCACAUCAUCGCCUGCCUAGAUGUUUGAGGACAUCUACUUUGUGCUGAGAGCUGGGGUCAUAGCAAUGAACAUGACAGAAGCCCUGACCCCUAACAGUUCAAUAAUAUCUGAGGUAGUGUGGAAGCCCAGAGAACCUACCAGCAUGAGAUAGCUCUACUAGGCUGAAGGAAUUCCAGCUUAGUAGAUGGAUGAGGAUUGAAACUAAGGCAGUGUAGGCAUAGGGAAGAACAACAAAUACCCAGACGUAUGAAGGCCAGGAUGACACACAACAGAAUAGCUGUGGGACCUAGGAUGGGGCCACGGGCUCUGGUAGGCAGCAGCUCCUAGCCCUGCCUCCAGGCCUUGGCUCCACAUUCAACCACUGUUGCCAGUCCUCCUGCUCUGGUCUCGUGAGGCAUCUCCCCUCCUGCUCUGGGCUAGGCAGUCUGCUACCCCGCCAGCAAAGGCUGCCCCACCUGGGCAUGGAUGUUGGUACUCCCUGACACUCAGCAUAUCCCUGACUCCUAAGGUAAGUCUGAGUUGGUGUGAAAAUGCAAAGCGGCCAAGAGGAAAGGCCCAGAUGUGCCAGGAGAUCAGUGAGAAGAAGCUAGAAAGGUCAGGAGAGGCAGCCAUAGGAAGUGCUGGAGCCUGACGAAGCACGCGAAUGGUAUAGCUUUUAGCAGAAAGGAGGAUUGAGGAAGGAUUCUUUUGUUUUGUUUUACUUUAUAAUUUUUCAUUUUGAGAUAACUUUACACUUUCAGAAAAGUUGCAAAAACAGUCAGAUUGCCACAUAGCCUUCACCUGGGUCCCCUGAUGAAGUUCUUGCCUUUAUAACAGCCACGAAGUUACUGGACUGGAGCAAUUCGCACUGAUGCAACAUCAGCGACUGAUGUCAGUCCUUCUUAGAAAUCUGCCAGUUUCCUGACUAACGUCCUCCCUUUGCCCUGCUUCAAGACUACAGUGGGGGAGGGGAUGCAUGGGAUGUACAUAUUUAAUCCCAGCACUCUAUAUAGUCAGUGAAUACCUGUGAGUUCAAGGUCAGCUUGUCUACAUAAGUUCUAGAAUAGUCAGGGAUACCUAGAGAUACUCAAUUAAAAAACAAAACAAAACAAAACAAAACAAAA